rnacentral:rRNA from 1 species
AACGAACGCUGGCGGCAUGCCUAACACAUGCAAGUCGAACGAGAUCUUCGGGUCUAGUGGCGCACGGGUGCGUAACGCGUGGGAAUCUGCCCUUUGGUUCGGAAUAACAGUUGGAAACGACUGCUAAUACCGGAUGGUGACGAAAGUCCAAAGAUUUGUCGCAAGAGGAUGAGCCCGCGUAGGAUUAGCUAGUUGGGGUGGUAAAGGCGCACCAAGGCGACGAUCCUUAGCUGGUCUGAGAGGAUGAUCAGCCACACUGGGACUGAGACACGGUCCAGACUCCUACGGGAGGCAGCAGUGGGGAAUAUUGGACAAUGGGCGAAAGCCUGAUCCAGCAAUGCCGCGUGAGUGAUGAAGGCCUUAGGGUUGUAAAGCCCUUUUACCCGGGAUGAUAAUGACAGUACCGGAAGAAUAAGCUCCGGCUAACUCCGUGCCAGCAGCCGCAGUAA